UAUUAACCCUACCUGACAGGUGAGGGUGUCGUAGACCCUCCAUAUCUUUUUGCCCACCAGCUUGGACACUGGGUAGCCUGUGUGGUUGGACAGCUGCUCCACAAAAUACUGCAUGAAGAACAAAAGAAGAACGUCUCUAAUGCGACAUUGUGACGAAUGGCACCAUUUUGGAUGCAACCUGCAGGUGCCGUGCCUCCAGCAGAGGGUGUUCAACUUCAACGCUGCGGGCCCUGCGCUGAUCCAAACACCAGCCCGCUUUGUGCAGGCACCGGAGUCACUGCAGCACAAGCGACACGUCCACUGGAGGUGCCGAUGCGUGGCUUUACGUACCCGGUGAGCUCGGAGGAACCUCUGGUAGGCCUCGCUCUCAAACGUCUCGGUCAUCAGAGCCCUAAACCUCGGACAGUCUUUGCCUGGAGACCUCAACAGCUGGAGAAACGUAAAAGCAACAGCGGCACAUCAGCGUAAACGGCCACUUUAAAAGAAGGCCAUUCAGUACCUCUACUGAGGUAAACACAGUAAUGUGGUGCUGCUGAGAGGAAAUAUUCAUGUGGCUGAGCAGCCCACCUUGUCCUGAGCCCUGGGGAUGGUGUGCACUGGAAUGGGCCGCCACAGUAACUGGGGCAUGAUGGGAGGCGGCCGUCUGGUCGGGGGGAACAUCCCGGCGAGGCAGGCCUGGGCGCUCAUCAGCGUGCGCUCGUAGUCGGUGCUCCUCACGUAGAUCUGUGGAGCGAGAGCACGUGCCGGUGGCAGGUUUGACGCCGAUACCACAGACCUCAGCGAUUUUCCAACUGGGACACCAGGGCUUUUUUUAUAGAGAAGAGAAAAUGCUUGGAAACCCAGAAGUGUUGAAUUAGAACUUACGAGGCUGCGCGGCUCCGUUUCUGUUUUUAUGUAAUAAAGACGCUAAAUAAAUGCGCUCAGUGAAGCUGCAGUAUAUUCCGAGUGAGCUGUGUUUAUCCUAAGGUAUUCCCCUAACGCGAAGAGGAGGGGAUUCGGAGGAGACGAGGAGGCGAGGGAGGAGGAAAAAUGAUCCGUCUGGCUGUGAUCUCUUCUGACAUCAGCCUUUGCUCGUCUAUAUCUCUCUGUCGCCCCGUGUCAGGUUUUCGCACACAGUAAAUCACGCUGAUAAGGUUGGAUGUUCCUGUGAUGCAGAGAAUGCUUUUUCUCCCCCCUCCUUUUGUCAAAUUAAAACAGACGUGGCGGCGCGGGGAGAGAGGUACAGUACGACUUGACUGAGACUCAGGUGACAAAUUGCCUGUGACGGCUGCUGAGGAGAGUUGUUAUUUUUGCGGUAAUUGCACGUUUCAGUAUUUAAGAGGAGAGGCGGCGGAGGGGGGAGGGGGGGGGUGAGAAAUCACACCCAGCCGACACACAUGCCGUCCUGUACAUGUUGCAGCAGCGGAAAUGCACUCACCUCCCUGUUGUUGUAGUCGUCACCGAGAAGGUUGGCGUAGCGCCGCCUCAGGAACCUGCCCAGCUCAAACUGCUGCUUCAUUCCCAGCUGGAAGAAAAACAUCGGUUUGCUGAAUCGUGCCUGACAAACGUCACGUCUGCACGCACACGCAGCAGUGGAACUGCAGUGUGUAGGAGGGACGGUACCUCUGUGAGCUGUCCAAAGCCCUGGGCCCACACGUCCUCUCCAUGAGGAUCCUUGGGGUAGGACUCAAUAGGAGAUCGAUCGCCGUGUCUGAACACCUUCAGAGUCAACAGGGAUUUGUGGUCCCAAACGACUUCAUCACCAACUGUGGGCCGAAUCAAUGUCUCUGCCGACCCCCCGCUGGGCCGUGACACGGCAGCCGCCCUCGGCCUCCCCCGUUUGAGUCAGCUGCUGACACACGUGCGGCCCCUCAAAAUUGUGUGGAUUACCCCCACUUUAAAGCUCCAGUCAUGUACAGCGCUCUGAUGGGUAACAAACAAAUGGGAUAAGUGUAGACACACACACACACACACCUCUGCAGUGCUCCACACUCAUUAUAACUUGCUAUGUUGUCUCGCCUGAAAUUAUAGGGCCCGGAGUGUUUUCCCUUACUCAGCACACAUAUAUUGACAGGCAGCGGGUGGAGGAGCCCCUUGUGGCUUGUUUCUCCUAUAGGGCCCCGGCAGACGCUAGCACCACCACUGCACACAGGCUCUAACUGGGUGAGUAAAAACCGCUGCAUAAUUUAUGGAGGCCUUUAGAAGCCAAAAGCACCACAACAUUAACCAAGCGGAGUAAAACGCCGGCCCCAUCUGCAGUUAUGGUAAAUCAAUACUCAAGUGAGCAUAAUAAUCUUACAACAACAUCAGCUCCGUGGCUGGAAAAGUGUUUGCGUGUGGGAGUUCGUGCACUGGGGAACCAUUUGCUACAUACCUUCCUGCAGUAAUUACACAGGAAGAUUCUGUUUAUAAUGUAUGAUGAGCAACAAAUUAUUCACAGAAACAUAAUUAGUGUAAACCUGAGACUACAGUAUACGAAGCAUCUCCGGUGAGACCGCCUUCUUCCUGGUUCCCAUAUAAUGGUGCGGCUAUUAAAAAUCACUAUAUAGUUUUAAUAAUUCAGACGUUCUCUGUCGGUGAACCGCUCACUUGUUUCGCUAAAAUAAGAAACUCCUUUACUCUGCUUUUUCUCGCAGGCGGCCGUCGGGCCGGUCCGCUGGAGUGUUUCAUCCCCAGGAAAGGUGAGAAAGCGCCUGUCUGUCUGUUUGUGUCCCUCUCUCCGGGUCGUUAAUGGUAAAACGGUCCAUUUGUGACUUGAACAUGAGCAAAGUGUGAUGAGUGCACUAAGCCCUAAGACGAGGUCAGUAAACUUAGAAUCUGACCGAAAGCCGAAUUCUGAAGCCUGAGGCAAACAAAGGCGUCUGGUUUCCAUCGCGUAUAAACUCCCACUGACAUCUUUUCCAUUCUUUCCAUAAGCCUUCAAACUUUCAACCUUCUCUGUGCAGUCUCCAUGUAAACACUGCCUAAAUAGGCCACGGCAGCUCCGGUGCUUGGCUUUGGAUUAGCUUCCUUUCGCUGUGACUGCAGGCCCAUGCUGCUGUAUCCAGCACACCGGUGUCCUCCACAACUGCAUGUGCGUAUUAUUUUUUUCUCUUUUUUUUUGUGCUGCAGCCUUUAAAGUGUGAAGAUAUUAAAGGCGUUUGGGUUUUCAUGCCUCGGUCGGCGCGCAGGCGGCCCACAGCCUCUGAUGCGCCCGCGUCACAGCGGAGUUUAUGUUGUGUCAGGUUCCCCACAGACUCUGCAGUCUGUCUGUGGGCCAGGGGAGCUGGGGGAAUCCCUGGAGAAACACGCGCAGCUGAGAGGUUAUUGAAUUUGAAGGGAACAGACAGCAUAAGGGAACGGAGAGGCGAGUUUCUGGGAAAGAACUGCAGCGCAGCCACCGAUAACACAGGCAGACGUGGAUGCUGCUUUCAGGGAGUCUGCCACGUCCUCUAAACACCAGCCCGUUUCUCCUGCUUUUUAAUUCAGUGUCGACGUGGGGACGUAUGUUGAUGUAAGCGCCUGUGUAUGUUUGCGCUUCCUGCACGGGGUUGUCACUGUCAUCGUAAUCAAAGUAAAAAUUACAUGUGAUGGAGGAGUAAUCUGCAUUUGACCAUUUCUCUUUC